rnacentral:rRNA from 1 species
CCAUGAAGCUGGAUUCGCUAGUAAUCGCGCAUCAGCCACGGCGCGGUGAAUACGUUCCCGGGCCUUGUACGCACCGCCCGUCACACCAUGAGAGUUGGAGAUACCCGAAGCCUGUGAGCUAACAGAAAUGGAGCAGCAGUCGAAGGUAGAAUCAAUGAUUGGGGUGAAGUCGUAACAAGGUAGC